AAAAAUCGUAACAAGGUUUCCGUAGGUGAACCUGCGGAAGGAUCAUUACUGAAGGAACUAACGAUAUGCUUUCACGAAAGCAUUGUUGCAAACGUUGGUAUAAACCAAUCGGCUGUCCGGCAGAGCAGUCGUGAUUACACAAGUGAAGCUGGUGUGGUGAACGAAAAUACGUGCGAGCGAAUGCGCACAAAACGAGCAGAACUGGCGAACUGUUGGCAGAAUCAGAACUAAAGGGGACCGUCGCCCGCACGGGCCUGAGAAACCCGUGCAGGCAGAGGGCGGUCCGAAGACGGGACAAAGGACAAUCUGAUUGAAUACUCGUUGUAACUUCGGGGUACCUAUCGUGCCUACGCGCCGACCGACCUUAUUUGUCGGCGCCCGGUACGAUGAGCAGGUCGCGGGAAAUACCCGCGGCUUCGCGAAGGUUUAAAGAAGCGUCGUGUUUCGUCGUCGUCGGCCGACCGUAUUUGCCGGCGUUCGACGAAGCGCUCGCUCGCCCCGAAGCCAUUUUUCUUGUCUUUCGUACGGUUGCUAUCCGACGCCUGCCGGUCGACGGAGACCGCCCCGGUCGUCUGGGGUGGACGAAGUCGCGCCGGUACGGCGCUGCCCAAGUGUGAUAAAGUUAUACAACUCUAAGCGGUGGAUCACUCGGCUCGUGUGUCGAUGAAGAGCGCAGCCAGCUGCGUGAAGUAAUGUGAAUUGCAGGACACAUUGAACAUCGAUAUCUUGAACGCACAUUGCGGCCUCGGGUAUUCCCGAGGCCACGCCUGUCUCAGGGUCGGUUGAAAUUAUCAAUCGUCGGUUGACCGUAUUUGCUGACGCAUUGGAUCGUCGCGGAGCGCCGACCGUAAAGGCGUGAUCGGUUGACCUAAUUUGCCGAUCGCGCUGCGCGCCACGUCGUCCGAAGUACAGACGGGUCUGCCUAAGCCUUGCCGACCGCACGUCCUUACGAGUCCGCCAUUGCGGACGGGGACGGCGACUCGGACCGUAAGAGAAGCCGUCGCCUGUUGCUCUGGCGGUACGGUUGGUGUAGGCUGUGGCAGACCCAAGAACGAGAAGACGCGUACGUCGACGACGAAGUACUAGUAGUUGUCGAUGGACGUUUCUCAUUCUUCGA
rnacentral:rRNA from 1 species